rnacentral:snoRNA from 1 species
CCCUUCUCAGGGUUGCACCUGGAGAGUUUCCAGUACUCUACCAGUCUCAACUACAAGAGGAAGAGUCAACGGAGGCAUACCCAUUCCAUUCCUAUCUUGGGCAGUGGCUAGCAAGUGGAAGGCAAUCUGCUACAAGU